GAAGAAAGAGGGAGGGGGGAUGAACACAUGCAAGUCGAACGGAAAGGCCCUGCUUUUGUGGGGUGCUCGAGUGGCGAACGGGUGAGUAACACGUGAGUAACCUGCCCUUGACUUUGGGAUAACUUCAGGAAACUGGGGCUAAUACCGGAUAGGAGCUCCUGCUGCAUGGUGGGGGUUGGAAAGUUUCGGCGGUUGGGGAUGGACUCGCGGCUUAUCAGCUUGUUGGUGGGGUAGUGGCUUACCAAGGCUUUGACGGGUAGCCGGCCUGAGAGGGUGACCGGCCACAUUGGGACUGAGAUACGGCCCAGACUCCUACGGGAGGCAGCAGUGGGGAAUAUUGCACAAUGGGCGGAAGCCUGAUGCAGCAACGCCGCGUGCGGGAUGACGGCCUUCGGGUUGUAAACCGCUUUCGCCUGUGACGAAGCGUGAGUGACGGUAAUGGGUAAAGAAGCACCGGCUAACUACGUG
rnacentral:rRNA from 1 species